rnacentral:rRNA from 1 species
CCUACGGGGGACAGCAGUGAGGAAUAUUGGUCAAUGGACGCGAGCCUGAACCAGCCAAGUAGCGUGAAGGAUGACUGCCCUCCGGGUUGUAAACUUCUUUUAUAAAGGAAUACAGUGAGGCACGUGUGCCUUUUUGUAUUUACUUUAUGAAUAAGGAUCGGCUAACCCCGUGCCAGCAGCCGCGGUAAUACGGUGGAUCCGAGCGUUAUCCGGAUUAUGGGGGUUAAGGGGUGAGCAGGCGGAGGUGCAAGUCAGCGGUCAAAUUGCGGGGCUCAACCCCGUACUGCCGUUGAAACUGCAUCCCUUGAGUGCGCGAGAGGUAUGCGGAAUGCGAGGUGUAGCGGUGAAAUGCAUAGAUAUCACGAAGAACUCCGAUUGCGAAGGCAGCAUACCGGCGCGCAACUGACGCUCAUGCACGAAAGCGUGGGUAUCGAACAGGAUUAGAUACCCUGGUAGUC